GACGUAGGGCGCGAGCGUUGUCCGGAUUUAUUGGGCGUAAAGAGCUCGUAGGCGGCUUGUCGCGUCGGCUGUGAAAACCUGGGGCUCAACCCCGGGCCCUGCAGCCGAUACGGGCAGCUAGAAUUCGGUAGGGGAGACUGGAAUUCCUGGUGUAGCGGUGAAAUGCGCAGAUAUCAGGAGGAACACCGGUGGCGAAGGCGGGUCUCUGGGCCGAAAUUGACGCUGAGGAGCGAAAGCGUGGGGAGCAAACAGG
rnacentral:rRNA from 1 species